UACAGAGGUCUCAAGCGUUGUUCGGAUUCAUUGGGCGUAAAGGGUGCGUAGGCGGCGCGGUAAGUCGGGUGUGAAAUCUCGGAGCUUAACUCCGAAACUGCAUUCGAUACUACCGUGCUUGAGGACUGGAGAGGAGACUGGAAUUUACGGUGUAGCGGUGAAAUGCGUAGAUAUUUGGAGGAACACCGAUGGCGAAGGCAGCCCCCUGGGCUAACACUGACGCUCAUGCACGAAAGCGUGGGGAGCAAACAGG
rnacentral:rRNA from 1 species